rnacentral:rRNA from 1 species
UACGUAGGGGGCAAGCGUUGUCCGGAAUUAUUGGGCGUAAAGAGCUCGUAGGCGGUCUGUCGCGUCUGCUGUGAAAACUCAGGGCUUAACCCUGAGCUUGCAGUGGGUACGGGCAGACUAGAGUGCGGUAGGGGAGACUGGAAUUCCUGGUGUAGCGGUGAAAUGCGCAGAUAUCAGGAGGAACACCGGUGGCGAAGGCGGGUCUCUGGGCCGAUACUGACGCUGAGAAGCGAAAGCAUGGGGAGCGAACAGG